rnacentral:rRNA from 1 species
GUGUCAGCAGCCGCGGUAAGACGAACCGUGCAAACGUUGUUCGGAAUCACUGGGCUUAAAGGGCGCGUAGGCGGGCCGGAUAGUCUGUGGUGAAAGCCUCCAGCUUAACUGGAGAAGUGCCAUGGAUACUGCCGGUCUGGAGGAGGGUAGGGGCAUCUGGAACGCUGGGUGGAGCGGUGAAAUGCGUUGAUAUCCAGCGGAACUCCGGUGGCGAAGGCGAGGUGCUGGACCCUUUCUGACGCUGAGGCGCGAAAGCCAGGGGAGCAAACGGGAUUAGAUACCCCGGUAGUCC